CCUACGGGGUGCUGCAGUAGGGAAUCUUCCACAAUGGGCGAAAGCCUGAUGGAGCAACGCCGCGUGGGUGAAGAAGGUCUUCGGAUCGUAAAACCCUGUUGUUAGAGAAGAAAGUGCGUGAGAGUAACUGUUCACGUUUCGACGGUAUCUAACCAGAAAGCCACGGCUAACUACGUGCCAGCAGCCGCGGUAAUACGUAGGUGGCAAGCGUUAUCCGGAUUUAUUGGGCGUAAAGGGAACGCAGGCGGUCUUUUAAGUCUGAUGUGAAAGCCUUCGGCUUAACCGGAGUAGUGCAUUGGAAACUGGGAGACUGGAGUGCAGAAGAGGAGAGUGGAACUCCAUGUGUAGCGGUGAAAUGCGUAGAUAUAUGGAAGAACACCAGUGGCGAAAGCGGCUCUCUGGUCUGUAACUGACGCUGAGGUUCGAAAGCGUGGGUAGCAAACAGGAUUAGAUACCCGGGUAGUC
rnacentral:rRNA from 1 species